rnacentral:rRNA from 1 species
UACGGAGGGUGCAAGCGUUAUCCGGAUUCACUGGGUUUAAAGGGUGCGUAGGCGGGUUGGUAAGUCAGUGGUGAAAUCUCCGUGCUUAACAUGGAAACUGCCAUUGAUACUACUGAUCUUGAAUUUUCUGGAGGUAAGCGGAAUAUGUCAUGUAGCGGUGAAAUGCUUAGAUAUGACAUAGAACACCAAUUGCGAAGGCAGCUUGCUACAGGGAUAUUGACACUGAGGCACGAAAGCGUGGGGAUCAAACAGG